UAGGGAAUCUUCGGCAAUGGGGGCAACCCUGACCGAGCAACGCCGCGUGAGUGAAGAAGGUUUUCGGAUCGUAAAGCUCUGUUGUAAGAGAAGAACGUGUGUGAGAGUGGAAAGUUCACACAGUGACGGUAACUUACCAGAAAGGGACGGCUAACUACGUGCCAGCAGCCGCGGUAAUACGUAGGUCCCGAGCGUUGUCCGGAUUUAUUGGGCGUAAAGCGAGCGCAGGCGGUUUAAUAAGUCUGAAGGUAAAGGCAGUGGCUUAACCAUUGUUCGCUUUGGAAACUGUUAAACUUGAGUGCAGAAGGGGAGAGUGGAAUUCCAUGUGUAGCGGUGAAAUGCGUAGAUAUAUGGAGGAACACCGGUGGCGAAAGCGGCUCUCUGGUCUGUAACUGACGCUGAGGCUCGAAAGCGUGGGGAGCAAACAGG
rnacentral:rRNA from 1 species